UAAUGAUGGCCAGGCUGUCUCCACCCGAGACUCAGUGAAAUUGAACUCGCUGUGAAGAUGCAGUGUACCCGCGGCAAGACGGAAAGACCCCGUGAACCUUUACUAUAGCUUGACACUGAACAUUGAGCCUUGAUGUGUAGGAUAGGUGGGAGGCUUUGAAGUGUGGACGCCAGUCUGCAUGGAGCCGGCCUUGAAAUACCACCCUUUAAUGUUUGAUGUUCUAACGUGGACCCGUGAUCCGGGUUGCGGACAGUGUCUGGUGGGUAGUUUGACUGGGGCGGUCUCCUCCUAAAGAGUAACGGAGGAGCACGAAGGUUGGCUAAUCCUGGUCGGACAUCAGGAGGUUAGUGCAAUGGCAUAAGCCAGCUUGACUGCGAGCGUGACGGCGCGAGCAGGUGCGAAAGCAGGUCAUAGUGAUCCGGUGGUUCUGAAUGGAAGGGCCAUCGCUCAACGGAUAAAAGGUACUCCGGGGAUAACAGGCUGAUACCGCCCAAGAGUUCAUAUCGACGGCGGUGUUUGGCACCUCGAUGUCGGCUCAUCACAUCCUGGGGCUGAAGUAGGUCCCAAGGGUAUGGCUGUUCGCCAUUUAAAGUGGUACGCGAGCUGGGUUUAGAACGUCGUGAGACAGUUCGGUCCCUAUCUGCCGUGGGCGCUGGAGAACUGAGGGGGGCUGCUCCUAGUACGAGAGGACCGGAGUGGACGCAUCACUGGUGUUCGGGUUGUCAUGCCAAUGGCACUGCCCGGUAGCUAAAUGCGGAAGAGAUAAGUGCUGAAAGCAUCUAAGCACGAAACUUGCCCCGA
rnacentral:rRNA from 1 species